rnacentral:misc_RNA from 1 species
UUUAAAUACAGUAGUGCACGUACAUAGGUCUAUAAAAAAAAGUUUGGUCUGGUACUCGCGCGUCAUUGAUACCUCCUCCGAUCACGUGAUUUUGAAUCUCCCCUUUUUCAUACGGCAUAACGUACGAUAAUCGUAGGUAUAGAGACACGCGGAUUGGCAUACUAGAUGAAAUAAGGACAUCGAUAUACACGUGAGACACUCACACAUGAACACAUAGGUAUUCAUAUAUUAAUAGUUCGAACGCCAUCGUGUUUCAUUCAAAUAGUCAGUCUGAUGGUGACCGUUGACCAUUCAACAUCUGCAACAAUUACAAUUUCAUCAUAGAAUUUCUUAUACCCUAAAAUGUUUUCAACAACAACACCACCGUGAAUGAACACAAGUUUGAUAUCUUGGUGCAGGUUCGUCAUUCCUUUCUGGACUGCCGGACCAUCGAUGUUCAGAUGAUUCCCCGACUGAUUUUUGGGUGCAUCGCGCUGAUCGUCUGCGUUCGCACGACGGAGGGUAGCGUCCUUGUCGCCGAUAACACGAUGUCUCGAAUGGUCGAGGUGAACGCAGGUGCUCCAUUCUGCGCCCUAUACAGCGACAGAGGUGUAAUACAGAGAAUGGUUCUGGGGGCUGAUCCGCGAAAGGUGCGUCAGAUGUCCGCAAACCUUGUCGCUGACCUCGAGGAAACGUGCAGGGAGUCAAGAAAUCGUGGAAAGAAUCAGGCACCGGGAGGGCUGAUUUAUCCCGGAACCAAGUGGUGCGGCCCGGGCAACAUCUCGGCGACUUACGAUGACCUCGGUCAUCAUGCGUCGGAGGACGCCUGUUGUCGAGAACACGACAAUUGCGCGGUGACUAUCGGUCCUGGACAAUGUAUGGAUGGAAUUUGUAAUCAUUCGCCUAUAACGAGAUCGCAUUGCGAUUGCGACGCCAAAUUUCGAAGAUGUCUUCAGGGCCUGAACACCGAAGUUGCGAAUACACUCGGUGCUUUAUUUUUCAAUGUUGUACAGGUCACGUGCUUCAAAGAGAGACGACCCUGUUCUCAGUGGCAACGCUGCUACGAAUUUGAUCGGCCAGAGAUGUACCGGGGAAAAAAAGAACCCGGCCGAAGAUUCGGGAUGCGAUUGAAUCAACCGCGGUUUCAGUUAACCAUUGAAAAAAUUUUUUUGGCAAAAAUUCGGCUCUUUAUAGAAACGUGUUCGAAAAUCUUGUCACUUCUGAAAUUUUAAAUCUCGUCUAAUUGAAAUGAAAUCUUUAUUUCGAAUAUUCGACCCUCCCGUACACGCCACCGAGGUCCUCAAAUUUUAUUCGACCAACGAAGCAACUCAAAAUGGAUUUCCCUCAACGGCUACGCGGAGGCAGAAUCGAACCGGAUUUGUUCACAGUACAAGUUUCGUCCGAGUGACAAAUACGUGCCGUUGAUGCCAA